GAUGAACGCUGGCGGCGUGCUUAACACAUGCAAGUCGAGCGAAGCGGUUUAAAUGAGACUUCGGUGGAUUUUAAACUGACUGAGCGGCGGACGGGUGAGUAACGCGUGGAUAACCUGCCUCACACAGGGGGAUAACAGUUAGAAAUGACUGCUAAUACCGCAUAAGCGCACAGUACCGCAUGGUACAGUGUGAAAAACUCCGGUGGUGUGAGAUGGAUCCGCGUCUGAUUAGGUAGUUGGUGGGGUAACGGCCCACCAAGCCGACGAUCAGUAGCCGACCUGAGAGGGUGACCGGCCACAUUGGGACUGAGACACGGCCCAAACUCCUACGGGAGGCAGCAGUGGGGAAUAUUGCACAAUGGGCGAAAGCCUGAUGCAGCGACGCCGCGUGAGUGAAGAAGUAUCUCGGUAUGUAAAGCUCUAUCAGCAGGGAAGAAAAUGACGGUACCUGACUAAG
rnacentral:rRNA from 1 species